rnacentral:rRNA from 1 species
UGGGGAAUAUUGCACAAUGGGCGAAAGCCUGAUGCAGCGACGCCGCGUGCGGGAUGAAGGCCUUCGGGUUGUAAACCGCUUUUAAUUGGGAGCAAGCGAGAGUGAGUGUACCUUUUGAAUAAGCACCGGCUAACUACGUGCCAGCAGCCGCGGUAAUACGUAGGGUGCAAGCGUUAUCCGGAAUUAUUGGGCGUAAAGAGCUCGUAGGCGGUUUGUCACGCCUGGUGUGAAAGUCCAUCGCUUAACGGUGGAUCUGCGCCGGGUACGGGCAGGCUAGAGUGCAGUAGGGGAGAUUGGAAUUCCCGGUGUAACGGUGGAAUGUGUAGAUAUCGGGAAGAACACCAAUGGCGAAGGCAGAUCUCUGGGCUGUUACUGACGCUGAGGAGCGAAAGCAUGGGGAGCGAACAGGAUUAGAUACCCUGGUAGUCCAUGCCGUAAACGGUGGAUGCUGGAUGUGGGACCCUUCCACGGGUUCCGUGUCGGAGCUAACGCGUUAAGCAUCCCCGCCU